CCCUGGGAGGCCCUGGCCUCACUCCAUGUGGGCUGGGCAGUGCAGUGCCCUGCCCUCUAGGAUGGAGGCAGAGAGCAAACUGCAACUCUAAAAGCCAUGCAAAUUUCAUUUUUCACCCAGCUUACAAAUGCUGUUGACUUGAGCCCACACACCACUUGAGGACAGAAGAGAAAUAUCACAUCAGUUUAUAAGUGCAGAAAUGUAGGAUGAGCUGAUUUAACUCAUGCCCUUCAAGAAGAACAAAGAACCCAGGUCUUGUUCUUGUGCCUUGACCAUGAGACUAACUGCUCCUUAUUUUCGAGAUAAAUUCGACGAACUCAAGUACGUCAAUCCAGGUUGGGAUAAGGACCAAGAAUAAGAUGAGGAGAGUGCCCUGUGAAAUUUGGAGGAAAAUCUCAGUCCUUCUCCAAAUAACUCCCCUGCCUGAACAGUGGAGAUUGCUGCCCAGUCUGCGGAGUCCAAACCACCAGUUAGUCUGAGGUUAUGUAAAGCGCUUCUGCUGGAAGAGCUCUCAAUAGGAAACAACUUCAUUCUUCUCAAAGAGAGGUGAUGUUUUGUCAUCUCUGGAAUGUCUUGGGGUUAAGCUGAAAAUGCAGAUUCAUAACCAAGUGGUCUCACUGGCUUCCUCUUUGUGAGAACUUCUGGACUCAUCUCUAAACUACAGGAUGCUUGAUGAAGUGAAGUUCCUCACAUUAAUGCAACAAAGAAGAACUUUAUAAUGGAUAAAAGUUUCUGCAGUGCAUCUUCAAGCAGGAAAUCUGAGAUUCAGAACAACUUAUAUUUUGGCUUGUAUUCGCUGAUCAUGGGGUGAUCCAGAAAUAAACUCCAGGCUUCAAAGCGAGAGAGUUUCAAAGCUGUCCUGCAGUUGAUCGAAACAUCCAGACAAGGCAGGGAGAUGAAUACCAACGAGGAUUUUCUGAAUUAAGACUAUAUCAAGAAGAUAAUUCAUUUCAAUAAUAUCGUAACUCUUUCAUUUGAGAACUAAAAG